rnacentral:tRNA from 1 species
GGUUUCGUGGUGUAGUGGUUAUCACGUCUGCUUCACACGCAGAAGGUCGCGAGUUCGAGCCUCGCCGAAACCU